GAAGUUGUAGCUUAGUGGUAGAGUGCUCGUCUAGCACGUGCGAGGCUCUGGGUUCGAUACUCAGCACCUCA
rnacentral:tRNA from 1 species